rnacentral:rRNA from 1 species
UACGAAGGGGGCUAGCGUUGUUCGGAAUUACUGGGCGUAAAGCGCGUGUAGGCGGGUCCUUAAGUCAGGGGGGAAAUGCCAAGGCUCAACCUUGGAACUGCCUUUGAUACUGGGGAUCUUGAGUCCGGGAGAGGUGAGUGGAACUGCGAGUGUAGAGGUGAAAUUCGUAGAUAUUCGCAAGAACACCAGUGGCGAAGGCGGCUCACUGGCCCGGAACUGACGCUGAGACGCGAAAGUGUGGGGAGCGAACAGG